rnacentral:lncRNA from 1 species
CUUGAAGUUGACCGGGUCCACCCGAAGCUUGUGCGCGUGCAGGUCGCUCAGGGCGGACAGCGCGUUGGGCAUGUCAUCCACGUGCUCCACGGCGUUGGUCAGCGCCUUGGCCACCUUCUUGCCGUGGCCCUUCACCUGGGCAGAGCCGUGGCUCAGGUCGAAGUGCGGGAAGUAGGUCUUGGUGGUGGGGAAGGACAGGAACAUCCUGC